rnacentral:rRNA from 1 species
UUGGUCCCACCUGAUCCCAUCCCGAACUCAGCAGUGAAACGACUUAGCGCCGAUGAUAGUGUGGGAGUUCCCAUGUGAAAGUAGGUCACUGCCAGGC